UGCACCUGUACAUUCAAGGGCAGCCUGCUCUU
rnacentral:piRNA from 1 species